rnacentral:rRNA from 1 species
GACGAACGCUGGCGGCGUGCUUAACACAUGCAAGUCGAACGGUGAAGCUCCAGCUUGCUGGAGUGGAUCAGUGGCGAACGGGUGAGUAACACGUGAGCAACCUGCCCCUGACUCUGGAAUAAGCGCUGGAAACGGCGUCUAAUACUGGAUACGAGAAGGGUCCGCAUGGGCACUUUCUGGAAAGUUUUUCGGUUGGGGAUGGGCUCGCGGCCUAUCAGCUUGUUGGUGAGGUAAUGGCUCACCAAGGCGACGACGGGUAGCCGGCCUGAGAGGGCGACCGGCCACACUGGGACUGAGACACGGCCCAGACUCCUACGGGAGGCAGCAGUGGGGAAUAUUGCACAAGGGGCGAAAGCCGGAUGCAGCGACGCCGCGUGAGGGAUGACGGCCUUCGGGUUGUAAACCUCUUUCAGCAGGGAAGAAGGGAAAGUGACGGUACCUGCAGAAGAAGCACCGGCUAACUACGU